UUAAGCAGCACAUAUACUAAAAUUUACUAAAAUUGAAACGAUACAGAGAAGAUUAGCACGGCCCUGGUGCAAUGAUGACACACAAAUUCAUGAAGCAUUCCAUAUAUAA